ACAGUCAGCUUUCAUAUUCACAUUAUAGCCCUUUGGAAAGAGACAAACAGCUUCUCUUUUAAAGGGUGACUAGGAAGUUGGGUGCAUCACUUCUGCUCAUAUCUUAAGUACUAAAAUUUAGUCUUCUGUUUGCUGUUAGCUGCAUGGAAGUAUGGGAUGUGUAAUAUCAAGCUCAGUUCCCUAAAACUGCAAAGCAGGAUGGGUCUGUUGCUAAAAGUAAGAAGGAUAAAAUGGAUUAGUGGGAGGGAUUUAGUUGUUUAUGCUACAAAGUAAACCAGGAAACUGAUAUUAUAGAAUAUGCUGGAAGAAAAUUUCUGGUUUUAUACUUGGGAGUUCUAAUGGAGCAGUUUAUUUAGCCUUCUUACUGAAAAGAAAGGAAAUCUCAGUGGUAGAAAGAAGAAACUAAGGGGAUUAACUUGAGUCUCUUGAGGAAGAAAUUUUUAUCUGUUUCUUAUCCCUGGUUGUCUGUGGAACAAGAACUAAUUGUGGGAGGAAGGAAAGGUCAAGAGUUCUAGAGUAAGAACAGCAAAAAAA